CAGAGCUUGGGGGUUCUUGGUCAUAGAAACUUGUGGUGAUCAGGGAUGUUGGGUUGCUCUCGUCCUGCCUCUCUUGUCCGAUCACUCAGGUUUGAUGACGGUGGGGAGAUGGGCGCUGAUGUCCUGUGAAAGCCUUCAUGACCUUGUUACCUGCUCGCUCUCCCUUUUAGUUAUGCUGUAAUAAUUAGGGCUGCCGGAGUCUAAAACUCUCUGUAAAACUGUUUGUCAACUAGCAUUGUACAUUAUUAACUACAUUCUCUGUUGUUUUACCCCGAGGGCAUUCUGAUGGAAACCUGUUUACCCACCGAGGUUAAGGAUUAAAGUCGAGACAACGAUGCUGCUCCUGUCAGAUGUGACGGGUCUGGAGCGUUCUGAUGGAAACCUGUUCACCCGCCGAGGUUAAGGAUUAAAGUCGAGACUGCCGUGACAACUAUGCUGCUCCUGCCGGAUGUGACUGGUCUGGAGUAAUUGCACCAAGAAUGACAAGAAAUCACUACAGACAUUAUUGAAGACUACAGCGAAGAACAACUCUAUUAUUAUUUAUCUAUUUAUUACCAGUUAUAACUUUUAGAUCAUUUAAUUCUGUGUUCGUAUGCUCUGUGUAAAUCGUGUAUUUAUUUAAAGUAUCCUCCUGGCCACCCAAGAAGGAUGGGCCCUGCUGAGUCUGGUUCCUCUCAAGGUUUCUUCCUGUAAUUUUCAGGGAGUUUUUCCUUGCCACAGUCGCCCUCGGCUUGCUCAACAGGGGUUUUUUGUAUCUGUUGGUCCUGGAUUUUGUAAAGUUGCUUUGAGACAAUGUCUAUUGUAAAAAGCGCUAUAUAAAUAAAGUUGACUUGACUU